AUUGACCUCUGGCGGCCGGCCUAACACAUGCAAGUCGAGCGGAGCGGCGGACGGGUGAGUAAUGCCUAGGAAUCGGCCUGGUCGUGGGGGAUUACGUCCGGAAACGGGCGCUAAUACCGCAUACUAUCAGAUGAGACUACGUCGGAUGAGCGAGUUGGUGGGUUAAAGGCCUACCAAGGCGACGGUCCGUAACUGGUCUGAGAGGAUGAGCAGUCACACUGGAACUGAGACACGGUCCAGACUCCUACGUGAGGCAGCAGUGGGGAAUAUUGGACAAUGGGCGAAAGCCUGAUCCAGCCAUGCCGCGUGUGUGAAGAAGGUCUUCGGAUUGUAAAGCACUUUAAGUUGGGAGGCGUUACCAACAGAAUAAGCACCGGCUAACUUCGUGCCAGCAGCCGCGGUAAUUC
rnacentral:rRNA from 1 species